UACGGAGGGGGCAAGCGUUGUUCGGAAUCAUUGGGCGUAAAGGGCGCGUAGGUGGCCAAACAAGUCGGGUGUGAAAUCCCUCGGCUCAACCGAGGAACUGCAUUCGAUACUGUUCGGCUAGAGUCCGGGAGGGGAUGGUGGAAUUCCCAGUGUAGCGGUGAAAUGCGUAGAUAUUGGGAAGAACACCGGUGGCGAAGGCGGCCAUCUGGACCGGCACUGACACUGAGGCGCGAAAGCCAGGGGAGCGAAUGGG
rnacentral:rRNA from 1 species